GUUAGGAUUUGCUAUUGGAUUGGUGACUGCCGUGAGCUGAUAACAUAUCAGGUCACUAUGAUCUCCCGUCCCUAUUGAUCGAGGAUGCUUUGCUGGUUCUGCCUUUGCUCGGCCAUCCCAUUGCAGGUUGCCACCAAUGGGAAUACAGCCAGUGGACUGGUUUUGCUUGUCAGCGACCAGAACAAGAACAAGUCAGUUCUAUCUAUACAUAUUCAACUUUGGGGAUGAUUGGAGGCUCUGUGUUCAUAGUUUAUAUGGGUCAUCUUUAUAUCUGGGCCAUGGUAGCUGUGAGAGCUUUUUAACCUACUCAGAAGAUCGAGCGAAGAGAAGCAACUGUCAGGGCUCAGGCUGCUGAAUUGGUAGCUUAUAUGGCAUUCUGAUUAUACUAUUUUUUGAACCAGAAAAUUGUCAAUGACUACAUAUAUCUUUGUGGAAACAAGUUUCAUCACUUCCUCACAGACACUUCUUCAUGGCAUUCUUAGUCGGGAGCUUGGUAACAACUUAAACUUCAGAUCAUUUGCUGUAUAGGGUUGUCAGCAGCAUAAUAAAGUGCCUGAAGUUUAUUCGCUAUUUUUCUUUAUAUUGCAGGUAAGGCUCAAUAUAUCUUUCAGUAUGCAAAUAAUUUCCAAUGAUGACGAUUUGUUUAAAGACUUCCAUCUCGUUUUAAGAAUAUUUUUAUCCUAUAAUAUGUGUAAAGAGCUUAUCGAGAUUAGAGUAAUAGACUGUAUCGUACCCAUGACAUUUACAGCCUGCUUGGUACUGAAUAUUGCAGGGAGAUGCACAGUACAUAUAAAACUAUGUAAGAAAAACUGUUUCUUGCACAUUUAGACGGAUUGUGAUAUAACUUAUAUAUUCCAUUUUACUGUAGUUUAGCAUGCUGUACAAUCCUACUAUCCAUGGAUGAUUGCGCCUGUUUCUUUCAUGCGGUCCAUUUUCCCUUCAGGAUAUGUUUUGAAAACAUGUUAUCAUGUAGAUUUGUGCAGUCAUGGUCAACUGGUACAGAUAUGUAUAGUUUCAAAAGAACAUUACAGAUAUGUAUAGUUUCAAAAGAACAGUACGACAACUAAUUAUCGCUGACUUGCAUCUCUCUUUUUGUUGUGUUGAUUGCUUUUGCCAAGUCAUUUUGUCCUUUACUAUAUUUAGUUAUUUACCAAUGCUUAACAAUACCACUUUUGCUUGGCUAUAGUAGAUCUUGCAGGUUGUAUGAUUCCUUUUAUACUUCCAAAUUUUUAUUAGUUACCACUAUAUACUUCCAAAUCUUGUACUGAAUCUGCUCAAUAGUAGAACAGAGUUCAGUUAUCUGAAUCAUAGCAGCACACACAUACACCGCAGUUCGUAAUGUCAUUUACUAGGGGUUGCGUUAGGGUAUUUUAUUUCCAUUAUAAACUGAUAAUAAUUAUGAGUUUAGUAAGGUAACAAUAAUCUGGGUUAUAGCAGAACAUUAGGUGUGGUAUGCUUGUAUGAGUAGAAUGUAGAGUUUAUAAAUGAACUAAAAUCUGAGAGCAGGAAGUGGUAGGUUUAAUUUCAGUUAGAAGAAUUGGUGUACUGCAGCAUCAUAUAUUCAGGUAAUUCCUUGCAUUUUUUUGCCAUGUUCAAGCUUUAUACAUCGUUUGUAUAUGCAUAAAGUACGUAACAUAAACUGGAGUUCGUAGUGUCAGGAGUAAGAAGGGUGCAACUAAGUAGUAGCAUGUUACAGGAUAAGAACGGCUGUUUAGUUUAACAAUGCCCUUUAACAGUGUAACUCCAAAGAGGUCGGAUAAAAUGAAUUAUUGAUAUAUCUGAACUCUAGAGUAUAAGAUGCAUCUUCCUACGCUUCCUGAGAUCACGGUUAUCGUACCUAUUUAUUUGAGAUAUGCUAAAUGUUCCUUUGAUAGUAGAUGCAACUUGCAGCUUUUGUGGACGUUCGUUUGUUUGUGGGAAAUUUUAUCUCUUCCCUACAGUCAAAGCUCAUGUGCAAUUUGGAGAGAAAUGCACGCAUGCUAUCGCUGCAUUUGACAAUUCCUUUUAGGUAUCAAGCCAAUAACGGCUUACGUUUCCUGGUCAUUUUUCUCUUGGAAAUGGAAGUUGUUGCUUCCUAGGUGAGCUAAGGCACGGGAAUGAGUUUGCACCUACUGUUGGAUUCUUCCUUACUACCCACCCGUCUCAGGUGGUCGUUCGUAGAUGGCAUGCUCAAGAGGAACACAUCAUAUUACAUGUGAACACUGAUAUCUUUGAAUGGCCUUACAUGUGGACACAACAGCCUGAACUUAAAUAGUACAAUCUAUAAUUGUAGCUAGCACAUCAACAAACAGCCAUGUGAAAACAUUAGUUUGCUGCCUUUAUUGCAUUUUUUGGAGCCGUAAUUCUUUUAUAGCAUUUCCUUGCCUUUAUUGCUUUGAAAAACACCAUUGAUCAUAAGCUGAUUGCGGCAGCAGGGUCGGAUAUUUAAGCAUACCUAGGAUAUUUAUAUUUUAGUUGGCAAACAGUUAUGCCAAUUUUGUGAUUUAUCUAUUUCUUUCACCUUUGGUCAUAAGCUGAUUGCGGCAGCAGGCUCGAGCUUGUGUGUUAAUCAAAAAAUUAAUUAAUCCGCUACCGGUGAGAAAUGUCUCCGGUGUGGUGCAAGUUAAUAUAUUCUGUACACAUAAAUAGUUAACAUAGUCUGUACCUGCCUCUUGGGUGAUUUUGUGAGUUGUGAUAGAUUGCUCCUGAUGAUGCCUCCUCUACAGAUUUCUAGGAUUCAAGGUCCCCUGACCUUGGCCAAGGACUAUGACAUGGAGUGACCUAUUAAUGUUGUUGACACAUCUUCUCUACAUUUAUCCUGUAUAAGCUCUUGUGUCAUACUUUAUUUAUAUACACACAUAUACCAUGUGCUUAUGUUGUUAUGAACACUUCUCCAUACAAUUUGAUCUUAGAGUACAUGGCUAUAUCUUGAUUAAAGAAUAUCAAGCACUCCAAUAGUCAUAAUUAAGACGUACAUAUUUAAGUACUCGAGCAUAUGGAGUAUCUCAUUACCUUCGCAGAUGUGAUCUCAAUGUUAUUUCGCUUCCCAUCUUUUUAUUGACAGAGAUGAUAUUUUACAGGUAUAAGGAUUCACUUCGAUUGCAGUUUCCCUACCCGAAGUUCAUCCACGGCUACUGGACUGACUGACACUUGGGCUUUGAUCAUGGAUGCAUGAAUAUGACAUCAGUCCAAAUAUUCCAGACAUAAAAUGUUCUUGUGAGAGUGUUGUCUCCCUACUUUUAUGGCAGAGAAUGGUGUGGCACCGAUGAUUGAUGGAGUAGGAUUUAACCAAGCUUGGUGUUACCAAGCUACACCCGUUAUCACCUGAAGUUAUCUCACGCCAAGCGAGGAUCAACAUUGGAGUUAAAGGUCAUAGUGGAAACGCCGCUUGGACUGCUUCUGGACUUCCACGGUGACACUAGGCUGUUCCAAGGCCAACUUGAGCUCCUCCUUGUGAUCCGUGUGUCGCAACAUGCAAGAAAAUCAAAUGAAGGAGUGUGGACAAAGACAAAGUUAUAUAUCAAGAAAAUUAGAUGAAGGCGUGUGGACAAAGUUAUAUAUCUAAUGGUCGACCAUGUAGUUUACUACUAUGGCCUGCUUUUGGUUUCUAUCAUACCAAACCUUGCUUAGGUUAGCGAAAACGGGAUUACGUAGGAGUUGAGGUUUGGCAAGUAGCAUCUCUUUGAUUAAGUCCAAACCAUAAUUGAGAGGCAUUGCAGUCGUGGGUCAGUUCAUAGAUAAUGCUAUGUUUUAUAUGGAAUACUUCAAUGGUUUUAUUACCGGGUUGGAUAUGAGUGCACCCGGAUACGGACAAGAGACCAACAAUAACAAAUAAUUGAUCAGGCUUUGUAAAAGCGGCAGGGAUCAAAUAGUAUCAUAUGUGCCAUUGCCUUCGAAAUUGAAAAGGGGAGACCGUCGCUCACUGUCCAUCAGCUUUAGAAUCGCAAGUGCAUCAUUGUUUACACAUAAAUCGUUCUAUACAAUGUAUCUAACGGAUUGACGGCAUCAGGUUAAUGUGACAUGUCGCCUAUGAAGUUGAUCGACAAGGCAGCUGAAUGAAGCAACUUAUUAGUAUGUCUAAUAGCUAUGGCUAUGUAGUUUUUUUACCUUUUUAUGUGUUCCUGCUCUUGGUACUUCCUCUCUCAUGUUCGUGAUCUUAGUACCAAACUUAAUUUCAAGUGGUUAGUUUUUGUGGUCUCAUGAGCGCACUAAAUCGAAUGUUGCCUUAUUUCUC